CACGUAGGGUGCAAGCGUUGUCCGGAAUUACUGGGCGUAAAGGGCUCGUAGGCGGCCAACUAAGUCAGACGUGAAAUCCCUCGGCUUAACCGGGGAACUGCAUCUGAUACUGGAUGGCUUGAGAUUGGGAGAGGGAUGCGGAAUUCCAGGUGUAGCGGUGAAAUGCGUAGAUAUCUGGAGGAACACCGGUGGCGAAGGCGGCAUCCUGGACCAACACUGACGCUGAGGAGCGAAAGCCAGGGGAGCAAAGCGGG
rnacentral:rRNA from 1 species